rnacentral:lncRNA from 1 species
AAUAUAUGAUAAGGGCAUGAAGGUGACUAAAUACACAAAGUAGAGGGAACAAGGCUAUGGGACAAGGAGGGAUGUUUCAUGAGAUCCAGGCUUAAGGCUUGCAAACAAGUUGAAGUAAGCUCUUCUCAGGGUAUGAUAAUAGAGGGGGAAAAAGUUGCGAAUAGCCGGCACAAAACUCGGUUGAGAAACCGCCUUUUAGGGCCUUUAUAAGGUUCGGGAUCCAGAGAUCACCAUACGAGUUGGGGAAUGCAAGAUCCUUUUCUUCGAGUUCUCAUGAGAGGAAGGCCUAUGCUUGACUAAGAGAAAUUUUGAACAUCAUCUAUAGAGACCUUUGCAAGUCUUAUCAAAGCAAUCAUACUUUAAGAUGUGGGCACGGUUGAGGACCUCCAAAAUAGCCAAAGGUAUGUACUUCGGAUACUUAAUUUUUUGCUCAAUGAGCUUUGGUGUUACUAUUUUCUUUUAAGGAUAUGGAGAUCAUGAUGACAAUAAAUCUCAUGUUUGAUAAAAUUUUCUCCAGUCCUAUGUUUUGCCAAGUAUAUUCAGUUAUCAACAUAAUAGCUUUUGUUUAAGUAAAGGACAUC